UACGAAGGGGGCUAGCGUUGUUCGGAUUUACUGGGCGUAAAGCGCACGUAGGCGGAUUUUUAAGUCGGGGGUGAAAUCCUGGAGCUCAACUCCAGAACUGCCUUCGAUACUGGAAAUCUUGAGUCCGGAAGAGGUGAGUGGAACUCCUAGUGUAGAGGUGGAAUUCGUAGAUAUUAGGAAGAACACCAGUGGCGAAGGCGGCUCACUGGUCCGGUACUGACGCUGAGGUGCGAAAGCGUGGGGAGCAAACAGG
rnacentral:rRNA from 1 species